GCCUUCCGGCCCCCGGGAUCCUUCUCUCCACAGCCCUGUUCACUCCAAGAGUGUCCACGGGGCUCGGGUGUCCGGUUCUCUGGUGAAGAGCCCUCCCAAGUCCAGAGCAGCCUGGGCCACAGUACGGGGACAUCUGUGGGCAGGAUCCGCACUGAGCUGCAAGCCUCUCACUCACAUGUCUCGCUUCAUCUCAUCCCAAGAAAAGUUCCUUCUUCCCUAUUUCAUGCCCCACUGGCUCUGCCAUCCCAGGCCUGGCAGGCUCUCUGCGUGGGUUGUCCCAGGAUCAGAGGAAGUGCCGCUGCCUCUCAAACACCUAGUUUGGCCCUCCUGGGAUUCCGGCCACCCGGCUACUCUCCCUGGAGCAGACUGGGCCCACAGGUGGGACCAGGCCCGUGGCAGAACAUGAAAGACUCCGGAUGCCUGUUGGCCAAGUCCCCAGCGGAGCCAGAUGCCCGCCGCCUGCUAUGGCUGUGGCCCAGACAGCCCUGAGAAGACAGCUGCUGCCCCCUUGGCUCUUCUCUUUGGGGUCUUUCCUGCCCCUGAAGAGAGUCUGACCCAGAUGUCCCAAGACUUGCCGGAAGCCUCCAGCCAGAACAGCUGGCGAGAAGCCUAACCCCUUUCCAGGCCCUUCCUUUUGUAGGCAGUGAAUACACCAGGAUUUAGUUUCUCCAUUCACACCCCCUCCCCAGCCCAUGGCCCAGGGCUCCCAUCUAUCCUGUCCAAGGCAGACAAAGAAGGCAUCUCCGGUUCCCUUGUCGGGCCCCUGCCCUUUGAUCUGCCCCCUCCUCCUGCCCUGGGGACCCUGAGGUGUCCUGGAGAAAACUCUAUCCAGGAACAAGUACCCAGAGAUGUGAGGGAGCCUGGGGCACAAGGGACUUUUCAAAGGAUACCAACAGCUCCCGCCCAGCGCACUACCCAGCCCACCUCCACGGGCUACCUGACCUCCUUCCCUCCAUAUCUGCAGUGCUCUCCCCAGGCCUCGACUCGCAUCAGACCCCUGACAGGGAGAUUCUCAGAGCACUGAGACCGUCAGGUCCCCCAACUUCCCAGCAACUCUUCUGGUGAGAGAUGCUUACUGCAUGGAGCAGUGCCUCUCAAAACGGAAUCCUGGGCCACCUGCCACAACACAGUCACCUGGGGCUCUGAGGCCCAGCCUCACUGAAUCUAAACCUCCACGGGGGCCUGGGCAGUUGCACAUGCAGCAAGUUGCCAGGUUGACACUAGAUGGCCACUCCCCAGCCCCAGAUCACCAGGGGCCACAGUAAUGUACCUAUCCUGAGCUGCCCCCUCCCCCAGGCCUCAGCACCACGUGGGGCACUGGGGGGAGCUUGGACUCCUGCAAGUCCCUGUUGUGUGACAGGCUCCCCUCAGCCUCCUAGAGGCCAACACUCCUCUGGGCCCAGGAAAACCCAGUUCUGCCCUCCCUUUCUGCUGCUCCUGGGGGCUGCAAGCCUCAGGCAGAACCCCUUGCUCCUGGGCCUCAUGCGAGCCCCUCUCUUCCUAUUUUACUUUCUUGCAGGGAUCUCAGAGCAGGCAGGGUUGCAGGCAGCUCAGAGUGAGCCUUGGGCCAGACAGAGCUGGCUUCAGCCCUGACUUCACCAUGCACCAGCUUGUGCCCUCGGGUGGUGCCUCUCUGGGCCUCCCCUUCCCAGCUCAGCCCUGGGCUCCACCCCUCUUUCUUCUGCUCUUCUCUCCCUCUAGCUGAGCGACUUUCUCUCUCCCUAGUUCCCUUUCUCUUCCAUUCGAUUUCCUACCUGCAUAUCCCCGAAACACCCUGCCCUGAAGUCCCCUCUCAGUGCCCUCUGCAUUUCACCCUGACAUGUUCUUGCCCUCCUGUGCCCUGUCAGGACCACCUUAGACUUGGUGAGGAGAUGUGUGGAGCAGGAGAUCAGCCAGAAAUCUUAAUCACUAAAUUUCAAGUUGGAAAUAUGUACACUUGACAUUAUGUGAUAACAUGGAACUUACUCCCCUAACCCAUAACCCCAGUCUAAUCAUGAGAAUAACAUCAGACAAAUCCCAAUGGAAGGACAUUCUAUAAGAUUCUUGACAAGGAUUCCUCAAAAGUGUCAACGUCAUCAAUACAAGAAAAUUCUGAGAACUUGCUAUAGCUUACGGAGCCUGAGAAGAUAUGACUAUUAAAUGUGAUGUUCUGGGUGGGAUCUGGGAAUAUAAAAAGGACAUUAGGUAAAACAAAGGAAUUAAAGCAUGGGCUUUAAUUAAUAUUAAUGGAUCAAUAUUGUUAUUGAUGGUAACUAAUGUGCCAUGUUAAUGUAAGAUGUUAAUAACAGGGGGAAUUGGGUGUGGGAUACAU